rnacentral:rRNA from 1 species
AGCGAACGCUGGCGGCAGGCCUAACACAUGCAAGUCGAACGAAGUCUUCGGACUUAGUGGCGGACGGGUGAGUAACACGUGGGAACGUGCCUUUAGGUUCGGAAUAACUCAGGGAAACUUGUGCUAAUACCGAAUGUGCCCUUCGGGGAAAGAUUUAUCGCCUUUAGAGCGGCCCGCGUCUGAUUAGCUAGUUGGUGAGGUAAAGGCUCACCAAGGCUACGAUCAGUAGCUGGUCUGAGAGGAUGACCAGCCACAUUGGGACUGAGACACGGCCCAAACUCCUACGGGAGGCAGCAGUGGGGAAUCUUGCGCAAUGGGCGAAAGCCUGACGCAGCCAUGCCGCGUGGAUGAUGAAGGUCUUAGGAUUGUAAAAUCCUUUCACCGGUGAAGAUAAUGACUGUAGCCGGAGAAGAAGCCCCGGCUAACUUCGUGCCAGCCGCCGCGGUAAAAC